rnacentral:rRNA from 1 species
AUACGUAGGUGACAAGCGUUAUCCGGAUUUACUGGGCGUAAAGGGCGUGUAGGCGGUCUUGCAAGUCAGAAGUGAAAUUCCUGAGCUCAACUCGGGCGCUGCUUCUGAAACUGCAGGACUUGAGUGCUGGAGGGGAUAGCGGAAUUCCUAGUGGAGCGGUAAAAUGCGCAGAUAUUAGGAAGAACACCGGUGGCGAAGGCGGCUAUCUGGGAAUUAACUGACGCUGAGGCGCGAAAGCGUGGGGAGCAAACAGGAUUAUAUACCCAGGUAGGCCACGCCGUAAACGAUGAAUACUAGGUGUAGGGGGUAUCGACUCCCUCUGUGCCGCAGUUAACACAAUAAGUAUUCCGCCUGGGGAGUACGGCCGCAAGGUUGAAACUUAAAGGAAUUGACGGGG